rnacentral:rRNA from 1 species
GGCUUCGGUCGUCGAUGGUGUUUAGGUUUCUUUGAGAUUGACGGACAAUCAACAAUCGUCAGAUUGUUUUGUUCUUUCAGUCAGCAUCAAAUUCAGCAGUUAUCACCUUUUUCCGGUGGUUCUGUUUUUUCUUUUACGGAGAGUUUGAUCCUGGCUCAGGACGAACGCUGGCGGCGUGCUUAACACAUGCAAGUCGAACGAUGAACUCCAGCUUGCUGGGGGGAUUAGUGGCGAACGGGUGAGUAACACGUGAGUAACCUGCCCUUGACUCUGGGAUAAGCGCUGGAAACGGCGUCUAAUACCGGAUACGAGCUUCAGCCGCAUGGCUAGGAGUUGGAAAGAAUUUUGGUCAAGGAUGGACUCGCGGCCUAUCAGCUAGUUGGUGAGGUAAUGGCUCACCAAGGCGACGACGGGUAGCCGGCCUGAGAGGGUGACCGGCCACACUGGGACUGAGACACGGCCCAGACUCCUACGGGAGGCAGCAGUGGGGAAUAUUGCACAAUGGGCGCAAGCCUGAUGCAGCAACGCCGCGUGAGGGACGACGGCCUUCGGGUUGUAAACCUCUUUUAGUAGGGAAGAAGCGAAAGUGACGGUACCUGCAGAAAAAGCACCGGCUAACUACGUGCCAGCAGCCGCGGUAAUACGUAGGGUGCAAGCGUUGUCCGGAAUUAUUGGGCGUAAAGAGCUCGUAGGCGGUUUGUCGCGUCUGCUGUGAAAUCUGGGGGCUCAACCCCCAGCCUGCAGUGGGUACGGGCAGACUAGAGUGCGGUAGGGGAGAUUGGAAUUCCUGGUGUAGCGGUGGAAUGCGCAGAUAUCAGGAGGAACACCGAUGGCGAAGGCAGAUCUCUGGGCCGUAACUGACGCUGAGGAGCGAAAGCGUGGGGAGCGAACAGGAUUAGAUACCCUGGUAGUCCACGCCGUAAACGUUGGGAACUAGAUGUGGGGACCAUUCCACGGUCUCCGUGUCGCAGCUAACGCAUUAAGUUCCCCGCCUGGGGAGUACGGCCGCAAGGCUAAAACUCAAAGGAAUUGACGGGGGCCCGCACAAGCGGCGGAGCAUGCGGAUUAAUUCGAUGCAACGCGAAGAACCUUACCAAGGCUUGACAUAUACCGGAAACGGCCAGAGAUGGUCGCCCCGCAAGGUCGGUAUACAGGUGGUGCAUGGUUGUCGUCAGCUCGUGUCGUGAGAUGUUGGGUUAAGUCCCGCAACGAGCGCAACCCUCGUUCUAUGUUGCCAGCACGUAAUGGUGGGAACUCAUAGGAGACUGCCGGGGUCAACUCGGAGGAAGGUGGGGAUGACGUCAAAUCAUCAUGCCCCUUAUGUCUUGGGCUUCACGCAUGCUACAAUGGCCGGUACAAAGGGCUGCGAUACCGUAAGGUGGAGCGAAUCCCAAAAAGCCGGUCUCAGUUCGGAUUGAGGUCUGCAACUCGACCUCAUGAAGUCGGAGUCGCUAGUAAUCGCAGAUCAGCAACGCUGCGGUGAAUACGUUCCCGGGCCUUGUACACACCGCCCGUCAAGUCAUGAAAGUCGGUAACACCCGAAGCCAGUGGCCUAACCCCUUGUGGGAUGGAGCUGUCGAAGGUGGGAUCGGUGAUUAGGACUAAGUCGUAACAAGGUAGCCGUACCGGAAGGUGCGGCUGGAUCACCUCCUUUCUAAGGAGCAUGUACCAGCCCCGCGGUAUACACGGGGA